CGCGUAGGCGGCCUGUUAAGUCGAACGUGAAAUCCCCGGGCUCAACCCGGGAACUGCGUCCGAUACUGGCAGGCUUGAAUCCGGGAGAGGGAUGUGGAAUUCCAGGUGUAGCGGUGAAAUGCGUAGAUAUCUGGAGGAACACCGGUGGCGAAGGCGGCAUCCUGGACCGGUAUUGACGCUGAGGCGCGAAGCCAGGGGAGCAAACG
rnacentral:rRNA from 1 species